rnacentral:lncRNA from 1 species
CUGCGUGUGUGUGUGUGUGUUAACAAAUUUUCUGCCUUGCACUUUUGGGAAUACUAAUGCUGUGAAACUGUCAGAGCUACCAGCAUCUCAGCUUGCUAAUGAAUUCCUAGACCUGUAUUCAGAAGAAAGGGAUAAGCAGAUGAGCUGAAAAUCCAGUUUCCAAGGAGACAGCCCUAGAAACAUGUAAGAAAUAUUUAACUAGCCUGGAAUCCUGAGCUUUCUUUUUCCUGUUCGCUCCACGUGGGUGUCAUAUCCUGACACACAGCUUUUGAGAUUCAGAGUAAUCCUGUCAUGGUCUGGUGCUGAGCAUCAUCACUCCCUGAGUUCUAGGCUGCCCAGAAGACUGGAACGGAAGGUAAAGAAAUUCAGCAAAGCAGAAGAGCUGGAUACAAAAGGCCCAGUCCAGUUUCCGAUGAUGUCAGUGAAAAGAUUCCUAUUGACUUGAGUUGGAGCUGGAUCAGGCACAAAGAAAGAGAUAGGGGUGUGAGAGAAAUGGAAGAGAAUAAGCUGGAGAGUGGAUAGGAAAGAAAAGAUGCAAUAAAGUGCACUAUACAUUUGGAAAAUUCA